UCGCUCCUACUGAUUGAGUGAUCCGGUAAAUAAUUUGGACUGCAACAAUGCUCUGUUCCAGGGCGCUGCUGCGAAAAGGAUGGUGAACCUUAUCACUUAGAGGAAGGAG
rnacentral:rRNA from 1 species